CGAACGCUGGCGGCGUGCUUAACACAUGCAAGUCGAACGCGAACGAUUUUCUUCGGAAGAUUUAGUAGAGUGGCGCACGGGUGAGUAACGCGUAAGUAAUCUACCCUGGCAUCUGGGAUAACCCACCGAAAGGUGUGCUAAUACCGGAUACGUUAAACAACACAUAGGUGUUAAUUAAGAAAGAUGGCCUCUUUUUUAAGCUAUUGUGCUGGGAGGAGCUUGCGUACCAUUAGCUAGUUGGUGGGGUAAAGGCCUACCAAGGCGACGAUGGUUAGCGGGUCUGAGAGGAUGAUCCGCCACACUGGAACUGGAACACGGACCAGACUCCUACGGGAGGCAGCAGUGAGGAAUAUUGCGCAAUGGGGGAAACCCUGACGCAGCGACGCCGCGUGGAUGAUGAAGGCUUUCGAGUCGUAAAAUCCUGUCAGAUGGGAAGAAGUGUAUAUAUAUUAAUACUGUAUAUAUUUGACGGUACCAUCAAAGGAAGCACCGGCUAACUCC
rnacentral:rRNA from 1 species